UACGUAGGGCGCAAGCGUUGUCCGGAAUUAUUGGGCGUAAAGAGCUCGUAGGCGGCUUGUCACGUCGGGUGUGAAAGACCGGGGCUUAACCCCGGUUCUGCAUUCGAUACGGGCUGGCUAGAGUGUGGUAGGGGAGAUCGGAAUUCCUGGUGUAGCGGUGAAAUGCGCAGAUAUCAGGAGGAACACCAGUGGCGAAGGCGGCACUCUGGGCCGUGACUGACGCUGAGACGCGAAAGCGUGGGGAGCGAACAGG
rnacentral:rRNA from 1 species